rnacentral:rRNA from 1 species
GACAGAGGGUGCAAACGUUGUUCGGAAUUACUGGGCGUAAAGCGUACGUAGGCGGCUUUGUAAGUUAGAGGUGAAAGCCCGGAGCUCAACUCCGGAACUGCCUUUAAGACUGCAUCGCUAGAAUCCGGGAGAGGUGAGUGGAAUUCCGAGUGUAGAGGUGAAAUUCGUAGAUAUUCGGAAGAACACCAGUGGCGAAGGCGGCUCACUGGACCGGCAUUGACGCUGAGGUACGAAAGCGUGGGGAGCAAACAGG